GAGCUAAACACUGCAGGACACCGGCCCUCCAGGACCGAGUUUGGGCACCCCUGCUUUAGACCGCAGAGUUAUACUUGCUGGUCUCGCCCACUUUGAUAUGUGCUACCAGGUUUCCUCCGGUCCGAGCAUCCUGGAUAUGAGAUACGAUGACGACCAGGUCAUAGACAGACGCUCCUUCUGCCUCUUCACUUUCAGUCAGCUAUGAGAAGAAACAAGACACAUUUUAUUUGAGCAAGGUCAUUUAAAAAAAUUAAAGAGUCAUCUUUCCCAGACAGGCUGCUAACCUCCAGGCCCUGAGUCUUACUGAUGCACAUCUUCAGACUGAGAGGGAUCCACACGUGCCUCAUGUCCU